rnacentral:rRNA from 1 species
GACGAACGCUGGCGGCGUGCCUAAUACAUGCCAGUCGAGCGGACUGAAUGGGAGCUUGCUCUUGUUCGGUCAGCGGCGGACGGGUGAGUAACACGUGGGCAACCUGCCCGCAAGACCGGGAUAACUCCGGGAAACCGGAGCUAAUACCGGAUAACACCGAAGACCGCAUGGUCUUUGGUUGAAAGGCGGCGCAAGCUGCCACUUGCGGAUGGGCCCGCGGCGCAUUAGCUAGUUGGUGAGGUAACGGCUCACCAAGGCGACGAUGCGUAGCCGGCCUGAGGGGGUGACCGGCCACACUGGGACUGAGACACGGCCCAGACUCCUACGGGAGGCAGCAGUAGGGAAUCUUCCGCAAUGGGCGAAAGCCUGACGGAGCGACGCCGCGUGAGCGAAGAAGGCCGUCGGGUCGUAAAGCUCUGUUGUGAGGGACGAAGGAGCGCCGUUUGAAGAAGGCGGCGCGGUGACGGUACCUCACGAGGAAGCCCCGGCUAACUACGUG